GCUGUGGUGGUUCAGUGGUAGAAUUCUCACCUGGGGGAGACUCAGGUUCAAUUCCUAGCCAAUGCA
rnacentral:tRNA from 1 species